GCGGGCAUGGCGGAAUUGGUAGACGCACCGGACUUAAAAUCCGUUGGCCGUUAGGCCGUGCCGGUUCAAGUCCGGCUGCCCGCACCA
rnacentral:tRNA from 1 species